ensembl:lncRNA
AGAAUUUACAACACCCCUAUGGAAUUCAUCCCAGCAUCAGUGAAGUCAGAGUGUGAUUUACCACUGAAGUCGAUAGCCCUGGAUUGCAGCCAGGUAAUGUAAAAUGGACUUAGAGGCGUGCUCAGCACAAAGGUAUGUCCUUGAGAAAGCAGGUUAAUGCAAGCAAGAGCUGCCCUCUGGAACUUCAUGCAGACUAGCACUUGGAUGUCUUCAGGAAAUGAACACAAGUGGGAAAGUAUCUGUGAUGGAAAAGGGACUUGGCUUACUCUAAGGGUGGAAAUGAAGCAAAUCAGGCCUGGACAGACUGGAGAGGGCUUCAGACACAGAACAAAUCGAGGGCUGCCAAUCACUGUCUGACCCAAAGAAAGAAGCUGUGUAUCUCCAGGGAUAUAUGCUAAAGAACAGAGUGGAUUGGUUCUUCUGGGACCAAGAUGCUUUGACCUCUGAAUAAAGCAGUGAUGAAAAACAGCUUUCAAAGAACUUCUCUCUUUGAAGACAGUAUAUGUGGAGUAUACACGAGAAAAAAAAAAGAAGAUUAAUUGCUCCCCCAAACACCGCAAUAAUACAAUGGUUUAACAAUGGAAAAGUUUGACUUAGAGCAGAUUAAUUACCUUCUAACAGCUUUAAAUUAAAAUAGAUAAGCUGUUCCUUCCCUAAAGUUUUGAGCUGGAUUCUCAAAUAUUAUGAUUUAUAACCAAUGUAAUCAUUGUUUUCCUCAUCUGUUCCACGUAGCUGAAUGCUUUAGAGUACUGGAAUUACUUUUGUGCUGUAUACAGAGCAGAAUAUUGCCAUGUCCAAUGGCAAGCAAAAGGCUUAUACUCAAUUGGUUCCCAUGCUGUCAGCUAGAGUUAUAUUCUACCAUUGCUUCUGCCUCCUAUACAUGUUUCAAAAAUUUUCACCUGUCCUGUUCAAGACAGAAUUUCACAAGUCCAGAACAUAAUACACAUCACAAUUCAUGUUACCCUUCAUUUUUUUUCCUGUAAAAUUUUCAUCUUACCAAAAACACUGCUACAUACAUCUCUUGACAUCUCUUAAUGGGUGUGUGUUUCCAGGCAUGUUUCCGUAUUUAAAUGCAGAUGUGAGCAUAGUGGAAAAUUACCAUGGAAUUAAAGAUGGAAUCCUACCAACACCCACCUGUUAAACACAUGCAAAUGCUCUCUGGGGAAAUGGCAUGCACCCCAGUGAAUCACAGCCCAUGGUAGCCCAGGGCUGUCUCCAUUCCUUUGACCCACAGCUGAGGGUGGAGACUUUUACAGCAACGGUCCCCUGUGAGCUCUGCCUAUCUUUCCUGUAUGCAUGUGCAAGGUCACCGUAAUGGUUGCACGUGGAGGCCAUGCCUCUUCCUCUCAAAUACGUGGGCUUGAAGCCACACAGAAAUCAGAGAAUCAUUAAGGUUGGAAAAGACCUCUAAGCUCAUCUCAUCCAACCACUAGUCCAUGCCCACCAUGUCCACCAUGCCCACUAACCAUGUUCCUCAGUGCUACAUCCACCCAGUUCUUGAACACCCCCAGGGAUGGUGACUGCACCAUCUCACUGGGCAGCCUGUGCCAAUGCCUCACCACUCUUUCUGAGAAGAAAUGUUUCCCAGUAUCCAACCUGAACCUCCUCUGGCACAACGUAAGGCCAUUCCACCCCAUCCUAUCACUGUUACCUGGGAGAAGAUGCCCAAUCUCACCCCAACCUCCUUUCAGGCAGUUGCAGAGAACCAUAAGGUCUCUGAUGAGCCACCUCUUCUCAAACUGAACUCACUUGCUCCCCAUAAGACUUGUAUUCCAGACCUUUCACAGGUUUGUUGCUCUUUUCUGGACACACUCCAGGGCCUCUGUCCUGUAUUCAGUUUCAGAUCAAGACUAGCACUCUCAUUCUUUAUCCCCGCUUCACGGUUCAACGUAGUGUUAUUAACACCAGCAAUAGCGCUUUCGUUAUCAAAACAUUUUCUGUUCACUUGUUUAUUUUAGCAGACCUGAGAAGUCUGAUUAAUCGGUUGUGGGUUUUUUCAUAUUAAGUAUAAAUUGGUGGCAAAUUUCUAAAUUUUCUCCAUCUGUUUUGGGCUGGAGGUGUUAGGGUUGUAAGUUACAGUAUUGUAUGACAUGGGAGUGUACAAUGUGAGAAAUCAUUUGAAUGUUACACUGCAACAAAACAUGCCCUUUCUUACCUAACUAACUUCAACCAGUACUUUAAAUAGUUCAAUUAGCUCCUAAGAGAGCAUGAAGAACAGAAGAAUUACCUUUCCUUCCCCACUGUAAGUUCUUGCCUGCAUUUCUCCCACUCCUUCUCCUGCUGUUCUUCAGGAAAUAUUUUCAGUGUGGUUACAACAUGUGUGAUCUGCCUGCGUAGAGAAAGCCAUAAAUCCACAUUACCAAAUGUUUAUCUGAGCUUUUGAACAUCUCGGAGAGCAUGGUAUCAGCAUCCCGCAAACCUCAGGGUACAGCAGCGCAGGAGAGGGAGCUGGCCAGAUCCUAUGUCAUUCCAAAGAGCAUGUUGAUCUGGGUAUGUAAUGAGAAGCAGGUCUGCAGGAAGGUUUCCUUGGUGGCAGUUCCAGCACACAGGUGCAGGUGCACUGCCCAGACAGUGCUGAACAAUGCAUUUCUGGCAUAGCGAGGACUCCAGUUUGGCUCGAUGCUUGCAGCGUUCAUGUCCAAACCCUGUUACUAGAUCAGCCUGGAAUGUCAUUCCAAAUCCAUGGUCUCCAGGCACUAAUCAAGAGAGGGGGCCAGCAGGAGGGGGCUGGCCUAUUGAAAACUCAGAGCGAAGGAGAAACACAGCCUCCAAAAAUACUGUAUCACUGAAAGGAAUUAAUUCACUUUCCUCGCUUGUGGUCAUUUUCAGAGACAUAAUAAAUAUAACCUGUGGGACCCAUCCAGUACCUGCAGUUAAGUUGUCAUCAUGUGCAGAUGUAUAGUGUCUUUACUAUAGCAGUGCAUUACAUUAUUUCCUUAAAUUGGUCUCAUACUUCAGCCCCUGGAAAGGCACCAGAAAAAUUUACUGGGGCUGGGAGAUUUGGAUUGCACUAAUGGCCCCGCUGGGCUUACUUGGAACAUCAUGGGAACUCCCUGCCACUUGCCCAUGAGCCUAGGAUGAAAGGAAAGUGAAGAGCUCUGAGAGCUCUGCUUUCUUUGUGUGUAUCCUCUUUAAAGAAAGUUGCAGAAACAAAAUAAAAAUGACCACAACUGUACUGCCUUGGUUUAAGUGGCAUAUUUUAAGACAUGACCAUUGCAAACAGAAAUGAAGAUCCUGUGAAGUGCUCUUCAUUUUUAUGUAAAUACUACCUUUUCACUGUUGAGAUGUAAGGAUGAGCAGUAUAAUUGGAAGCAGAAGACCUUUUCAUUAAAAAAAAGAAAAAAAAACAGGUUAAUAGGCAUCAUGCAGGAGAAAAGAGAGGUACAUGGCAUUGUGAUAAUCCAAGAAUAAAGGAAAACAGAGUGAUAUUGAACAACAUCUUUAACUGGAAAUACUCUUUGCUAUGCAAUAAAAUUAUUUGCAGACCUCAGCCACAGCACAGGAGAUAAGUAGGCUCAGUCUGGGGUACUGAGGAAUUUUUCAACCAAAUGUUUAUUUCAAUACCCUGAUUGCUCAGACCUAACCAAGGAUGUGGGAAAUCCGGUUGCAUAUCCAUCUUUCAUUGGAUAUUUAAUUAUUGACAUAGUUCAGAUGGGAAAGCUCAAAAAAGGCAGCCACAAAAGCCAGUAAUCAUGGGGUUAUUCUGAACUUGUUGUGGGUUGUUGCCAGUCUCUCUCUGCUCCUUUCCCCCUCUCUUCUUCCCUCCUGAACAUUUUAAAGAUAAUAGGUCUUCCCCAAAAAGGAGCUCUGGAAGCUUUAGGGCAGGGUUCAUUUUUUGCUUGUUUGUUUGUUUCUUUCUCCCAAGGAGUUAAAUAGAUCCCUCAACAGUUUCUCUCAUCGAUAUUAAUUUCAGUUCCUGGAAGUUAACCAUCAAGAGCCCACCUGCAGUCUCCUGGGACAGGCACAGAUAUGGGCUGUUCAUUGCAUUGGGGCUGGGCUGAACAUCUCUAGAAAGAGCAGUGAGGCACUGGCAUGGGCUACCCAGGUUGGUGGUACAGUCACUGUCCCUGGAGGUGUUCAAGAACCAUGGAGAUGUGGCACCGAGGGACAUGGUGAGUGGGCAUGGUGGGGGUGAUUAGUGGCUGGACUUGGUGAUCUUGGAGGUCUUUUCCAACCUUAAUGAUUCUAUGAUUCAAAUUAUAAUUAGCCAGCCAAGCUUCAACCAUGCUAAGCAAAAUUGAGGUCACGCCCCAUAGCCCGAACUAAAGCUAUGGUUGUGUAUUUAGCAGAAUUGUUUCAGUUUUGUUAUGAUAACCAGACACUGUCUCAGUUCUGCACUUCUUCCUGUGCUAUCUGAACUCUUCUUCCUCUCCCUCCACACUUCAUAUACUUUUCUUCCUAGCAUAGUUUUUCAACAAGCAAUGUAAGUAAUCCUAGUUCCUAGUGCCUUAUGCUAAUAAGCAUAAGAUAUGCUUAUUAUUUUAUGUGAAAACAUGUUCAAUAAUUAAAGCCUCAAUUCAAGAGCCUUAUUCAUUUUUCUUGCUUGUCCAAGAGCGUAAAUUCAUGCUCCAAGUGCUUUUCUAAAUAAGGAUGUAUUGAAGUGAAUGCCAAGCUAAGUCCCCCACUUGAGACCUACCCCAAUUAGCUGUUAUUGUUUCUACUGUUAUUAAUUACACUGUAGUCAUGCCAGGGAGCACAGGUGGUGGGCACCUUGGAGGGGCCAUCAAAAGGCAGUGUGAAAGGGUCAGGCACAUGUUUCAUGCAUGAGAAGUGGCCAGGUCUGUGGCAUGUUGGCUGGCAGACCUUAAGCAAACAGCUGAACAAUCUAGAAGAACUUGAUAAAAACCAGCAAGACAGCACCAGCAUAUAUCCAUUAUGUCAGCACUGCGAGGAUUAAUUCAGUAUCACUUCUAGUCCACAUCAAGGGAAAACUGAGGCUUGUGGGAAGAUGUACAGCUGUCUGGUGAGGCAAGAUAUAUAGCACUGGGCCUUGUGGCCUGCAGAGCUCCUUUUUUAAUGAGUGAAUGCACAGAGGAGUGUAGAAAAAUUAUUCUCUUUAUUUUCUGAGAACCUGCGAGAGGAGAAGAGCUUGUGUUUAGGUCUGGUUUCCCAUCUCCCUGUGCAGCAUAACACUGUCUUCAUGCAAGUAAAGUGCCGUGAAUCAUUUCUGCUUCUCAAAUUACACAUGGAAGCUUUAACCCAAAUCACCUUUCAAACAAGCACAUGGCCAAUUCAUGUUUUCUCAAAGGGUUUCCCUACUUUUCCCUUCUUUGAGGUGAUAUAAGACUGCAUGAACAUAAAGGGCAACACAGCCUGCCCCUGACACCAAAAGCUUUUCUCUCCUAGGAUUUUAUUAACUUGCAGUUUCCAUUUCCUAUUUCAAAUGUAUAGGUAGAUUGCUCAAAGCAGUAAAAAGACAACCUUUCCUGUAGAAGACUUUAUCUUUCUUAAGAGACUGAAGCUUGAACUGGAAAAAAAAGGGAGAAAUUAGAAGUGAAAGAAACAAUAUUUGCAGUAUUUAAGUAUAAGCCAGAUGUGGAAGUACACAUCUCCAAAUUAAACAUUUACUGAGUUGGCAGCAAUGGAAUUUUCUUCUCACACAUGUAAACGUCAGGCCUGCGUGCAGUCUAAUUUCUACCUCCACAUCUACCUGCCACUUGCUCUCUGUUGCCUCUAUCCUUCCCUGAGUUGAUUUUUAUUUGAGCUCCCUCAUUUCACUAUUCAUUUUCUCAUAGCAUCAACAACGCCUGGUUUGGUAUUAUUGUGAUAGUGGUCAACUGACACAGAAAGCAGUUGCAACCAAAAAUCCAUGUGCGCCUGUAAGUAUCAAGGUGUGGUGACAAAACUGAAAAAACACAUCUCUACUUUUUGUGAGGUACAAAACAAAAUGUUGCCCUAGUAGAAUUCUUUGAAAUGAGUAUUCCUUUUCUCAGAGGUCCAACGUAAAUCACUGUACUAGUCAGCAAAACCUUUACAAAAAAAAUAUAAAGGAAUGUUGAAGACAGAUUUUUUUUUUCUCAACUCUGAAUUAUUUUACACUCUACUACUGUAUGUAAUGUAUGGUAAUCCCCAAAAUUAGGGGCUGAAUUCUGUCUAAUUCUUGCCAAAAUUGGACAUGGAAAAUCUUGGAAACUCAUGACUUUUUUCCUGUUUUCCUGAAACAAUGCUUGACUUACAGGUCUUCACAGAUGAUGAACAUGGUACAUGGUACCUUGGUAUACCUGACAAUAAAAUGGGAGGGAAUUCCAACCCCAGCUAAUGAAUGACUGCCAAACACUACACCCACUCACUGCCAAAGCAGACCACAGUUGAGCUGCAAGGAAAGAAGGGCAUGAUCUGAUGGGAUGGUUCUUGCCAAUAGCAAAGAACAACAUGCUGUUUCUGAAAGCACCCGUGUGUCAUGGUGCAUCACCGCAAAGCCCUGAGUGCUGGACCUCCCAUGCUCAGGCUGAUGCAACAAGUUUCACUGCUGAUGAGAUAAGGAAAUGAUUUCAGACCAUUACUUUAGAGAAAAACCUAGGACCCUUGCUCUACAGCAAAUGGCUUCUUAUCUAGAUCUGCUUUAGGAAAGACUGUGCACUAGUAAGAAGAAAUUAAAUAUAUUCUCAAAGACAUUCAUCUCAUCCCCUUUCAUAAGCAGAACUGAGAGAGAUGCUCCAUGUGUAGCUGAUCAGACAAAAGGAGCCCAAACUUUGCUUUUUGCUGGGCUUCACUCAGCAGGUUUUUUUGGUACUGUUCCAUGAAAUGAACAUUCUCCAUUUUCUUUGAACAAAUUGUAUUACACUUGUUUCUCAUCAGAUUACAUAAAUUAGCUGAGAGGGAAUGGAUUUAAUUACAGUCCAGAUUCCAGACCUCUUAAGAACUUACAGCCUAACACAUUCCUUUCAUUUAAUAAACUGGAACCAAAUGAGGAUUAUAUCAUAUAAAUAAUAUUCCCUUGAUAGGGCAAUGCAAUAAAAUGGCAAAAAUACUCAGAGGAACCAUGUAGAUCAAAUACAAGAGACUCUGAUAUCACCCAUCGGAUUUAAAAUAUGAACCUCACAUGAACGUAAUUGUUCGAUAUUUUUAUCCUGUACUAUGAGUAAGAACCUGAUUCAGAGGGCCUUGAGCCCAAGGUUUAAUAUCUUCUGACAGCCUCAAACAGCUAAUGAAAAAAUGUGUUGCAGCAAAGUGUGGGUUUUCAUAUUUAAAAGAUAAUUUGAUAGCCUUGUACAAGAUCCUAAGCUCUCCUGCAAAAUCCAAGAUCUACAUGUCAGUGUCCCGAGUGACUAAAAGUAAAUAAAGCCCUCAGAAAGGGCUUCAAGAAAGCUCUGAGUGAGGCAGUUUUCUGAACCAAAUAAUUCUUUAAGAAGGAUGGCAGCAUUUUGGAACAACUUAAAUGAAUUUCUGACACACUUUGGAAAAGCUGGGUAGACAAUACAGAGGCAGAGGAACAAGGCUGCUGGGACAAGGGAUAACCAUUAAAUGCACAAUUAGCUGUAAGAAGGUUCUUUGUAGAUCACUGAAAAAUGGUUGAAGACAGUUUUGAUGACAGGUUACGUAGUCACAGCUCAUCUAAUCCUAAAGUUGUAUUUAAUCUGGCAUGCAAGUGCUAAUCCAGGAUCCAGCAUGUGAAGUUCAAAUUUAGACUCAGAGCAAGAAGCAAGGCAUAUUUGCCCAUUCAGUAUAAAGGUUUACAGGGACAUGGUAAAUCUCUGCCAACAGCACUUUUAAAUCAGAACUGUAUACCUUUAUAAACUCUUGGUCAGUUACCCAGACGUGCUCUAUUCAAGACUUCAGGAAAUUUAUGGUGUACCUGCUGCAGGAUACCAGCUGAGGUGGUCCUUGUAGUUCCUCCUGGACUUAAAAUCUAGAGCCCUCAGUUCCUUUCAGUUUGCAUUACACCUCUAGAAAAGCUGUCCGUGGAAUGUCUCUUGCAAUUGGCAUAUUUCAAAUCAGCAAGAGAACUUGCGUUGGUGGCCAGGGAAGGAGAACUUUUGUUAUGUUCUCUCCUACCUGCUUGUGACAUUCCUGGGUUUGUGAACCCAAGUACUUUUCGCACAUGCAUGUCCAACUCUAACAGGCCAGUAGCACUCAUGAAGGGCUUGCAAAUGUCUCUGAUGAGAGCCUUGUGCUCAUUACUUGAGUUUACAGCAAUUCACUGGAGAAUAGUUGCUUAAGCUUCUACAGAACUAUCCAGACCUCUCAUCCGGGUCUUCUUCAUACCUGUCUUCUGUCUGCCCAAUACCAUUCUCAGUGUUAGCAAUGAAAGACAUGGCAGGAUAAAACAGUGCUGUUCUAGAUGCCUAACCAAUGCAUAAUUGGACACUCAAGAACUCCAGUGAGCCACAACUUCAACGGACCUCAUAAACGAGUUGGUGCUAGAAAUGCUCCAUGAUGUGACAGGGCCUUGUGAAAAGCCAUACAUGAGCCACAUGAAGAACCACACCACUUAGCCACAAAGUGAAGGCUUUUUCUUUAUCCAGGGUAUGAACAUGGCAAUACUGCAAGUCUUCAUGAUAUGUAAGUAUAUAUAUUAAUAUAUAUUUAUAUACUUAUACAUCUGUAUGUGAAUCUCAUUAACUAUACUACAUACAUUGAUAUACAUAAAUGAAACAAAAUGGUCUUUCUGGCACUGCAAUUGCUUUAUCUGAACUUCUGACCUUACCAGCUGAACUUAGAGAUAUGUUCUAUCUCCUUCUUUCCCUUUUCAAGAAGUAAGAUGAAGAUAUAUGCUACAGUCAGAAGGAAUGAACAUACAGGAUUGUCUAUGAUGAUUGAAUUUGCCCCAGUGUUGACACAAGGGAAGAAAGCUGAGGUUGAAGAUUACAUUAAUUUAGAAUUUUUCUAUACAGGAUAAGCAGGAACUUCAGUUUCAUCUCUUACUGCAUAUGACAACAAUGACUUAGUAGACUUCUCUGCAAGUCUCAGAUCCAAUUAUGUAGAAAGGACAUAAUAUGCAAAGCAGGCACAAUGUUAUGUUUACUCCUGCUCUUAGUUCAGUCAUAAAUUGCAACUGACACUCUUCCCCGUGAUUUAAAAGUGUGACGUUAGGAAAUCCUGAUUCUCAUCUCUCUCAAAGCUGAGAGAUUCGUGUUGUUGCCUCAUUACUGACAUCUGCUGCACUGUAAAUGAACAGCAUCACACCUCACCAAUUUGCCCCUACUACGCCCUGUUGCUUUUUCUAACGCAUACUGGAAUUUGACUAAGCAGGAUUCACGGUAAUUUGCAUAGCUUCCAGAUAAUUGAUUUGGAUUACAGAAAACCACUUGGGGAAAAUAGAGAAAAUGCAGUGUUUCCUUCACACAGGACACCUUUUUAGUGAGAGAUGAGUAAUGGCAUGUGACAUGGCAGCUAGCUGAUCACAGGUCUCACUUUCUAACACAUGGGAAGAGAAGGCUUUCAUAAUAAUCCACAACAUCAGCCCACUGAAAAUUUCAACAUUUCUUGUGCUGUUUCCAGUGGUACCUACUUCCUGCGUCACAUAUGGCUUCCAUGAUGCUCAAGAGUGAACAAAUAUGAAAGGGUCUUUCCUUAAAACUUUUCUGUAACCAAUUCUGAUCCAUUACAAAACAGUUUCACAAGUUAUCUUCCCACUUAAGAACAUACAUAUAAAUCUUUCUCUCUUUUGCCUAAAAGCAAACAAGUGAAAAAAAAAAUCAAUAUAGAUACCUCAGGUCCUUAUUAUGAGGGAGAAGUCUUUUUCUCUCAUUGAUGUAGGCUUAAAAAUCACUGGUCGUCAUUCUGGGUGCAUGGCCAAUGUAGGCAGAUAUCUCCUGGCCAUGAGAAUUGUGGCAACAAAUAUAGAGUAAGGACCAGAAGACACAAACCAGACCACAAAUGAUGGAUGGAAACAUACAUAUGAGUACAGAUUUCUUGCAUGAAAACAUCUUUGGGAAUUCCAUAAAUGUUUUUGACUUCACCUGGGCCAGAUGUCUUUCAGACAAUAAGACAAUUAAGUUAUGAUGCAUUAUGGCAUAUUCUUAAGAGAAGCUUGGCAGAAGUGCAAAUAAACAUAGAUGCAACAUCACAGAACAUGCUCUUGGGUAUUUCCCAUGCCUCUGGCCACCAAUUUGAAAGGAUAUAGAUUUUCCAUAGGUCCUAGGCCAUUUCUGCCAGCCCUACACAGAUGACUACCACAGCUGUUCAGUGAUGCUGUCCAUGCGCUAAUUAUGGAAUCAAAGUAGGUGGAGUGAGAAUGUUCUUUAUUUUGAGACGUGUCUCUACAUCCAGAGCAAAUCAUAUUCAACUUAAUAAUUUUUGCAACAGAUUUGUAGCUUUUCAGAAAGAUGACAGACUGGAAACUAGUUCCCAUAUAUUUUCCCAUACAUUUUCAUUUCUGACAGCUGAUGAUUAUCAGAGCAAAAAUCUGGUAAUUCAAAUACAAGCAAACAAACAGAGCAACAAAGUCUUUGUCUAGAAAUAAAGCUGACCAAAGCAGAAUGGAUAUAAGUAGGCUAAUUCCAAGAAGAGAAUCAUCAGUCGGUGCAAACUUGAAGGUGACGGUAGGAUACCUGGAGGACAGCUGUGCAUUCAGCAGUGGUUCUGAUUGCAGGAGAUCACCUUCUGUGUUAGGAUCACAGCACCUGUAAGAAUAUGGUACACCAGCUCUUGUGCUGCUGAUAAGAUGCAUCUUAUGGACAAAAGCAUAGGAUGGUUUUCUAUGCUACUUGUUGCUGGGAAACCUUGUUUCCCCUUUACUCCUCUGCUCUUUUACCUUUUACAUUAUUUUCCAAUGGAACAGAGAACAGGUUGGUAGAAGGUAGUUCUUCAUACACCUCCACAGCAUAAAAAGCAAAGAAGUGGUAGGAUGAAUGUGAACUUGCAAGACAGAAGAGUUCUCACAUCUUCAGACCCACUUAAGAAAGAGCAAAUGCUGAAAGAGGUUAUUAGGUAGGUGAGUUACAAAAGUAUCUCCUAGCUCUAGGCAUGUUUGGUUUUACUCAGCUGAAAUCGGGUGAUACGUAUUUUUCAAAUACAGGGAAAAUGGAAACAAUACCGCAUGGAACUCUUUCCAAAAGCAUUCUUUAUUUAAACAGCAGCAGAUUUUUAGAGUGUAAUGGUCUAUCUGGCAAACCACUGUUGUACUAAGACAGGCUCCCUUUUCCAUUUUCAUGUUUAAUUCCAUUAAAACACGUGUUAUUCGUUUUGCAAUUUCAUACCAUCAGUGUCAUUGCUACAAAGGGGCAGAAGAAUCUCCCGCAGUAUGUCUGAGCAUCUUGAAACAUAUCUCCUACCUAUUACCAGUAUAUCCCAUGCUGAACAACUAAUUAUUGUAUCUACAUAGACAGGUAAAGCAGAGACAGGGCACUGAGAAUAAAAGACCCUGCUGAGCACAAAGUAAGGCAACCAUACUCCACAUCCAUUCUUCAGUGACAAGAAGUUUAUGCCAUUCAACUAAAACGGAUUUACCUUCUAUCAGCGAAGUUAGUUCUAAAGAAGUAACUUCACUCUCAGAGUAUGAUCUAAUCAUUUUAAGAGCUGACAGAUGUUACACUAUUGUUUGUAACGUUAAACAGGGAGUUAUCUUUACAGGCUCCUGUGCUUAUAAAAUUCAUCUCCCAAAGUAAUAUUCACAUAUUAUCAGCUAUAAAUCAACACUGAACUGCAGGCAAGUACACAAACUAUCAUCAAAAUUGCUUUAUGAAUUAUGAAUUCUAAAAAACCAACCAAAAUAUCUAAACAGAAGCGUUUUAUGUUACAGGUAUGCUUUUGAGGCCUCUUUUCUCAGAACUAAAAGGCUUUGAUCCUUCUCAUCCGUCAACAUAGUUUCUCCUCUUUCCUCAUCCAUGAUUCACUUCUAACCUCCUAUAAGCUUUCAUUCAUUAAGCUAUGAAUCAGCUUAAAUUUCCUCAAGAUAUUCUGAAUUUUGUCUCACAUUUUUUUUGCCCAGAGAAGACUUAUACAAAUUCACUCUUUUCUCCUAACACGACACUGAUCUCAAUUUAAAAAUGAUUUUAAGAGAAUGUGAAAACAGCAUAAAACCCACGAACAGGAAAAUCUUCUCCUUCCGAUUAUUAUUCUGAUUUGUCUCUAACAUAACAAGCUCUAGUAAUUGUCUUUAUUUAUUAUACUUUAUAUAUUUAUACAAAUAUUCACCUUUCUAUGGUGGAGGCUAAGCAGGUGGAUGAAAUACAAGAUGGGAAAACUAUGAUGUGCGACAGAAAAAGAUUCUAUAUUUUACUGUUUAUCCUUCUUGCUUCACCAUCAGUGGUGUGUUUCUACAGUAAACAAAUAUUCUGGGAUGCUCUGAUUAUUUAAAAACUUUUUUGCAUCUGCUGCUUCCAACAGAGAAAAGUCCAAAAUUCAUAAGGAGCUGCACUAAAUACAUGGGCAUAUUCAUCAGAAGCCCACGUACGUGAUCCUUGGGAAAGACUAAUAUCAACUGUCAUAUUUCAAACCAGUUUAAAAACAAACAAACAAACGAAACCCACACACAGAGCAACAAUCCACUAUGAGCAGCAAACUUGUCCCGGUAUUUACUGAUUUUUUAACUACAAGGACAAUUUUUCUAAUUCUGUUGCCAUCAGUGUUUGCUUUUUAAUAGGGAGCUCUACCAGAAUAUUCUCUCAUCCAGAUAUCAUCAAAAUUAAUCAUAAUUUACAUCAACUUCCCUCAGUCUAAAAUCAGGCCCUGUACUGCCUGUUAGCAGAACUGCAAGGAGAACUGGUGGAUGGGGAUAAGCAAGCAACGAAAAUCAAUCUCUGGGUACUUGAAGUACAGACAGAAUAUCAAAGUACAACAGGCUGCCUCUUCAAGGCAUGUACCUGAUUGUUCACAAGGACUCACUCCAACUUCCUGCACACACUUAGACCAUUAAGGCUGGAAAAGAUCAUCUAGUCCAACUGUCAACAUGUCUCCACCAUAGGUCUCUACCACCAUUCUACUGCUCAUUGGAAUAGCAUCCUAAUGGCCAUUUCAUCAAACAGAUGCAAAAAAUGCAUGUGAUCUCUGUGACAUGCUCCAGAUCUAUGAAAUAAAACAGGAGAAAUGGAAGUCCAUUUCUUGUCCAGACAAGAAAAAUAAAAACUCAGUUUUCCUUUAUCCGUCAGUACAGUAAAUGCUAGGGACUGGAUUCUCAUGUUUAUCAAUGCUAUGAUAUACUGUUCACAAAGUAUACAAGCAUUUCAGAACAGGCAAAAACUAUGUUGACCUCUUGCUUACAUUUUCCUUACCCUUUGCAGCAAGGUAAAAUAUUGAGAAAAUAUUGUCUACAUUGGGGUCUAGUUCUAUUUGUGAGCUUUCAAGUUACAAGACAAAAAAGUUCUAAGAAUAAAAACAAACAAAAACCAACCACCUGCCAAUGAUUCAUUUCUAUAAACGUUACUUCACGCACUCAGACAUGUUUCCUAAAACUGGUUUUGAUUCCCAGCAAGACCUCACUACAGACACCAAGAUGCCAGGACUUGCCCAUUAUUUGGGAUAUAUUUACAUGCACUGGGAGACAGGUUCAGCAAUCAGCAGAGGCAGCACACCUGCUCCCACCAACAUUUCCAGGCGCUGAUCAGACUUGCAGGGUCUGAGAAGAAGUUGUUUGCAUUUUUUCCUAUCUUGUUAACACUGCCAGUAGGAAUUACAUUCCUCAGAUAAAGCUCAGUCUGGCUCCUUAAAAUGUUCCAGACCUCAAGGAUCAUUUCUGCCUGGCCCUGCCAAGCACAUCCCUUCUCCACACCUCACUCCUCUCCUCAAGGCACCUCUGUGUGCCUGCUUCUGUGUGGCUGCCAUAGAAUCAUGGAAUCAUUAAGGUUGGAAAAGACCUCAAGUCCAGCCAUCAGCCAAUCCCCACCAUGCCCAUUAAACAUGUCCCUGAGUGCCACAACUCCACAUUUCUUGAAUGCUUCCAAGGAUGGCGACUCCAGCACCUCCCUGAACAACCUGAUCCAAUGCCUCACCACUCUUUCUGAGAGGAAAUGUUUCCUAAUUGACAGAUUUAUAGAAUCAUUAAGGGUGGAAAACAUGUCUAAAAUCGUCAUCUAGCCCAACCCUCAACUCAUCCCCCCAUGCCUACUAAAUCACGUCUCUCAGGGCCACAUCUCCAUGGUCCUUGAAAACCUCCAGGGACAGUGACUCCACCACCUCCCUGGGCAGCCUGUGCUUUCUGAUACAAGCCAGGAUGUAGUUGACUUUCUUGGCCACCUGGGCACACUGCUG